CACGUUUUCCUUGAUGAAUAACCCCAAUCCUUUUGCUGAGUCCCCCGAAUCUCCGUUUGGGGGCUCCAAGCUCCUUGUUAGGGUUCGAUUCAUUGGCCUUGCUUUGUUCCAAGCUGUUCGUCGCGGCCAAGGAGACGAUCUUGAUUCCUUGAUUUAGCGGGGUAUUGAUCCCUGAUCAGGAUGUCUAUGCACGAGAGGAAGACGAUCGAUCUGGAGCAGGGAUGGGAGUUCAUGCAGAAGGGCAUCACCAAGCUGAAGAACAUAUUGGAAGGGCUCCCGGAGUCGCAGUUCAGCUCGGAGGACUACAUGAUGCUCUAUACGACUAUCUACAACAUGUGCACCCAGAAACCCCCGCAUGAUUACUCGCAGCAGCUGUAUGACAAAUACCGCGAGUCAUUUGAGGAAUACAUCACGUCGAUGGUACUUCCUUCUUUGAGAGUGAAGCAUGAUGAAUUUAUGUUGAGGGAGCUAGUUAAGAGAUGGCUAAAUCAUAAAGUUAUGGUCAGGUGGCUUUCACGUUUCUUUCAUUACCUUGAUCGCUACUUUAUCACACGGAGGUCACUUCCUCCACUAAAUGAAGUUGGGCUUACCUGCUUCCGUGACCUGGUCUAUCAGGAAGUCAAGGAUAAAGUCAAAGAUGCUGUCAUCUCCUUGAUUGAUCGAGAACGUGAGGGGGAACAAAUUGAUAGGGCUUUAUUAAAGAAUGUCUUGGACAUUUUCGUUGAAAUUGGAUUGGGUAAUAUGGAGUGUUACGAAAAUGACUUUGAAGCACAUUUGCUUAAAGACACUGCUGCCUAUUAUUCUAGGAAAGCUUCAAACUGGAUUCUAGAAGAUUCAUGCCCUGAUUACAUGUUAAAGGCAGAGGAGUGUUUAAAGCGUGAGAAGGACAGGGUUGCUCAUUACCUGCACUCUAGCAGUGAACAGAAGUUGUUAGAGAAAGUGCAACAUGAGCUACUAUAUGUCAAUGCUAGCCAACUUCUCGAAAAAGAACAUUCUGGAUGUCAUGGAUUACUUCGAGAUGAUAAGGUGGAUGAUCUCUCGCGGAUGUACAGACUCUUUUGUAGAAUACAACGUGGCUUAGAUCCUGUUUCUCAAAUAUUUAAGCAGCAUGUGACUAUUGAGGGCACUGCUCUAGUCAAACAGGCAGAAGACUCUGCAAGUAACAAAAAGGCUGAGAAAAGGGAUGUUGUUGGCCUACAAGAGCAGGUUUUUGUUAGAAAAGUUAUCGAACUACAUGACAAGUACUUGGCAUAUGUGAAUGAUUGCUUCCAGAAUCACUCCCUUUUUCACAAGGCACUCAAAGAGGCAUUUGAGGUUUUCUGCAACAAGGGUGUUGCAGGAAGCUCAAGUGCUGAGUUAUUGGCUACUUUUUGUGACAAUAUCCUUAAGAAAGGUGGAAGUGAAAAACUCAGUGAUGAAGCAAUCGAAGAGACACUUGAGAAGGUCGUAAAGUUGCUUGCUUAUAUUAGUGACAAAGAUCUGUUUGCCGAGUUCUAUAGGAAGAAGCUUGCUAGGAGGUUGCUCUUUGACAAAAGUGCCAAUGAUGACCAUGAGAGGAGCAUUUUGACAAAGCUGAAACAACAAUGCGGAGGGCAGUUUACUUCAAAGAUGGAGGGCAUGGUUACAGAUCUUACCCUUGCAAGGGAAAACCAAUCUGGUUUUGAGGAUUAUCUCAACAAUAAUGCUCAUGCAAAUCCAGGGAUUGAUCUUACUGUUACUGUUCUUACGACCGGAUUCUGGCCAAGUUACAAAUCAUUUGAUCUCAACCUUCCUGUCGAGAUGGUUAAAUGCGUGGAGGUCUUCAGAGAAUUUUAUCAAACAAAAACUAAACACAGAAAGCUUACUUGGAUAUAUUCGUUAGGGACCUGUAACAUCAAUGCAAAAUUUGAGCACAAAACCAUUGAGCUUAUUGUAACAACAUAUCAGGCAGCUGCUCUUCUUCUGUUUAAUGCCUCUGAUAGAUUGAGCUAUUCAGAGAUCAUGACUCAGCUUAACUUGACGGAUGACGAUGUAAUCAGAUUGCUCCACUCCCUUUCAUGUGCCAAGUACAAAAUUCUUAAUAAGGAGCCAAAUACCAAAACCAUUUCUUCAACUGAUGUAUUUGAGUUUAAUAACAAAUUCAAUGACAAAAUGAGAAGGAUCAAGAUACCUCUUCCUCCAGUGGAUGAGAAGAAGAAAGUAAUAGAAGAUGUUGACAAGGACAGAAGGUAUGCCAUUGAUGCCUCCAUUGUGCGCAUUAUGAAAAGCAGGAAAGUUCUAGGCCAUCAACAGUUGGUGAUGGAAUGCGUUGAGCAACUUGGUCGUAUGUUUAAGCCUGAUUUCAAAGCAAUUAAGAAGCGGAUUGAAGAUCUGAUCACUAGGGAUUACUUGGAGAGGGACAAGGACAACCCAAAUAUCUUCAGAUAUUUGGCCUGAUUGACCUCCAAUCCUGGUAGAACGCACGUCUAUCAGUGUCAGGUGUCGUCAUGCAACCAGCCAAUUCCUUGUGUACCCGUAGUUGCUGUGGAAAAGUUGGCAAUUUGUAAAGAUUGUGGCGCAUAUUGCGCAUUCAUCAUGGAACCAGCCUAUAUGCACUCAAGUGUUGCUAAGUUUUUUGAUGGUCGAUGUCAGCUGGUCAAACGCUAUGCCCACUUUCCAGUUGGUGCUUCAAACUCAGGAAUUUGGGCAGGGAUUUUCUGGUCCAGAUCUCUGUACCAGUCAGGAGUCUGGCCCCUGUCUAUUUAUUAGUGGGAUGAAUUAUAUUUUACCUGUUAAACGGUGGGUCUAGUUCAUCCCACUAAUGAGCUUACAGGACCUUUUCUAGUCUAGAAGAUCCUGGACGAAAAUCUCUGCCUCCAGGAGGCAGGAUGGAGCCUGAUUUCAAAGCAAUUAAGAAGCGGAUUGAAGAUCUGAUCACUAGGGAUUACUUGGAGUGGGACAAGGACAACCCAAAUAUCUUCAGAUAUUUGGCCUGAUUGACCUGCAAUCCUGGUAGAACACGAGCGUCUAUCAGUCUUCUGGUGUCGUCAUGCAACCAACCAAUUCCUUGUGUACCCGUAGCUGCUGUGCAAAAGUUGGUAAUUUGUAAACAUUGUGGCGCAUAUUGCACAUUCAUCAUGGAACCGGCCUAUAUGCACUCAAGUGUUGCUAAGUUUUAUGAUGGUAAUGACCAUCAAAUAACGAAAGCAUUGUAAUUGUUCUUAUUUUAUGUUUUUCUUUCGUAUCACUUGAUUAUAUCAUAUUUGUGAUAUAUAUCUUGCUUACUCUUCCAAGUAAACAGGGCUAUUUGUAUGUUGACGAAUUAUUGAGAAAAAUGAGACUGCUGUAUUUUUGUGUUCGGA